AAUAAAUUUUAAUAGGUCUUCUAAACUUAUAAGAAACUUCGUGUUUGUUUAUUG
rnacentral:tRNA from 1 species